rnacentral:lncRNA from 1 species
UGGUUCUAUUGGUUAUAUAAUAAAAGAUAUUACCAAAUACAUGCAUUAAGCAUAUGAGAACAUAACUAAAUAUGUGGUUGUUUGCCUUUGCAGGAAAGGGUGAAGCCAUGGGUCUGUACCAUCUGUAAGACUGGCAGUGUACCUCUCUAGGAGAAAGAAACUCUUCCCACCCAGGGCACCAUUUCAUUCCUGUUCAGCAAUCAGUUUGAGCCACAGAAGCUGAUUUGUUUCAUUUAAUCUUUGAGAUCUGGCCCGGGUUU